UUGACAUCCCUGGAGACUGAAAUUCUCUAUUUAUCUACAGAUCAAGUACAACAAUGACAGCAGCGGUGAAAGAAUUCCUAGGCUAACCCCUAGUUGUCUCAGCCUUGACAGAGUGGCUAACUUCAGGUAUGAGAGGAUAGUUCAAUCAAUGCUCUUGCAAUAUUUGGCCUCU
rnacentral:sRNA from 1 species